rnacentral:rRNA from 1 species
GGAGGGAGCUAGCGUUGUUCGGAAUUACUGGGCGUAAAGCGCACGUAGGCGGCCAUUCAAGUCAGAGGUGAAAGCCCGGGGCUCAACCCCGGAACUGCCUUUGAAACUAGAUGGCUUGAAUCUUGGAGAGGCGAGUGGAAUUCCGAGUGUAGAGGUGAAAUUCGUAGAUAUUCGGAAGAACACCAGUGGCGAAGGCGACUCGCUGGACAAGUAUUGACGCUGAGGUGCGAAAGCGUGGGGAGCAAA